GAUGAACGCUGGCGGCGUGCCUAAUACAUGCAAGUCGAGCGAACAGACGAGGAGCUUGCUCCUCUGACGUUAGCGGCGGACGGGUGAGUAACACGUGGAUAACCUACCUAUAAGACUGGGAUAACUUCGGUAAACCGGAGCUAAUACCGGAUAAUAUAUUGAACCUCAUGGUUCAAUAGUGAAAGACGGUUUUGCUGUCACUUAUAGAUGGAUCCGCGCCGCAUUAGCUAGUUGGUAAGGUAACGGCUUACCAAGGCAACGAUGCGUAGCCGACCUGAGAGGGUGAUCGGCCACACGGGAACUGAGACACGGUACAGACUCCUACGGGAGGCAGCAGUAGGGAAUCUUACGCAAUGGGCGAAAGCCUGACGGAGCAACGCCGCGUGAGUGAUGAAGGUCUUCGGAUCGUAAAACUCUGUUAUUAGGGAAGAACAAAUGUGUAAGUAACUAUGCACGUCUUGACGGUACCUAAUCAGAAAGCCACGGCUAACUACGUG
rnacentral:rRNA from 1 species